UAUUAUUAUAAAUAAGAAUAAUAAUUAAGUCUAAUGAUAAUAAUGGAAGGGGCUCUUUGGCAGGAGCCGUUUUGACAUGUGCAAAAAUACUCACUAUGUGGAUUGUACUGGACUUGCAUUGUAAUAGCGCCAGUACGUGCAUCCCUAAGUACUUUGGCAGCACUUGGAUAAUCAGCAGUUCUUAGAUUGAUGCCACAAACAUCUAGUAAUUGAUCGCCAAUCUGCAAACCAACUUUGCUAGCCAGUGAAUUUUCACUGACUGCUGAAACGAAGACACCUUUCUUCUCAAGGCAAAAAAUUCGUAUUCCCAGAGGUUCAACAGAUUUAUCAAUUUUCAAUCUUCGAAUUUCUCCAGAUGUUCGUUCAAUGCUUCCCGUCGAGAGUUUUCCAACACUGCUUUUGGAAACAACACUUGGAUUCGAUGGUAUCCUGAACCUCUGAUUUUCCUUUUUUCUUGGAAAUGUACCACCCUCAUACCAAUAACCUGGUGGUGUAUAGGCAUUGGGUACAUCAUAAGCAGUACCAACUGGAUGUCCUCUCAAUUUUUGAUAAGAGCCUGAACUUCACGAUCCAGCCGCUGUUUAUCGCUGACAAGAUCACCAUAUGUGCCCAGCAGAGCUGAGCUCUCUUGUGAGGUUGCUUCCAGUUGAUUCAUUGCAACAAUAUGCUGACCGCAGUAGUACUCCAAUUCUUUCAUAGUGUGAUCACAUCUGCAACGAUAAACUUGAUUUGAAAAAAUUAUUCAUCAUUACCGUCCUUUUGAAAAUCAUUUUCCAAUAAUACGUACGUGACAAUU